rfam:Stegodyphus mimosarum contig37640, whole genome shotgun sequence.
GCCUUCGUGGUGUUGUGGUCAGCAUGCUCGACGCGUAACCGAGAGGUCCGAGGUUCGAUUCCCGGCUAAGGCA